AGAAUUGUACGACUUCCAUGCAGCCAUUGCUCCCUUGCGCCUGUCACCUAAAGUCGCCGAUUGCUUAUCACCCCAGAGAGGAAUAUGAAGAGUUUUUUUCACAUUGUGUAGUGAACACAAGUCAGCCGCUGGUUGUUGAGUCUGUAUCUGAAGCCAUGGAGGAGGACUUGCCUACCGCCUUUCUGCCACGUGAAAUCCUGUCCCGAGUUUCGAGAUCCACAGCCCCUUGCUGAACUGUGGUUCCCGUGUAAGGUCACACUGACAUCGGCUAGGCUUGCCAUAACUCAACUUGCCUAAACGGGGACUUUAUGCAAUCACUGAUGCUCUGAUAUUUCCACUUACAAUUCAUGUAAACUGAACUAAAUCAUAAUCCUUGCAAAGUCAAACGGUUCAAGCUGACAUUCUUAUUUAGGAUGUUUUAGUAAAUCGGCGUGUUUGUUGGAUCCACCAUAAAGUAUUGUAAGAUAAUGUAAAAAUGUACUGUCUGUUUAAAGUACACUAAAUUGUUUGAGUGCGUUUUACGUCCUCCUUUUUUACAAUAUAAAUUCACAAACGUUAGAAGUAUUCCGCGUAUGAAACGCAAUAUUCUGAUGAAGCUGUUAGCAGUGUUCGAAAUACCUGCCUGCCCGACCGUCCGAGACGGGUU